rnacentral:piRNA from 1 species
GAGAGGCAAUGGACAGAGAG